CCCCACAGCAAACACCCUUCCACUCCCACUGCCGGCCCUUAAAUGGGCUCAGGGUGGGCUGCGCUCCUCCCCGUCCCACCCCCACGUGGGUGGGGGGCGGUCCCAAAGGGGGGGUGGUCCCAAAGGGGGGGUGGUCCCAAAGGGGGGGUGGUCCCAAAGGGGGGGUGGGUGGAGCGGAGCCCACCCUGAGCCCAUUUAAGGGCUGCCCUUCGAUGGGGAAGGGUUUCUUCUAUGGGGCUGCUGGGUUGGUUCGGUGGGGUGGGUGCUGUGUCUUGGGUUGGGUUGGGUUGGGUUGGGUUUGGGUUGGGUUGGGUUGGGUUGGGUUCGCUUUGUGUUCUCUUUGGUUGUUUCUUUAUUGCAGGCGGAAGGUUCCGGAUCUUUAUUGGGCAUCCAUAGGGCGUGAAGACCCAAUGAAGGCUGCGGGUGGACGCGGCAGGACCCCAUUAUCAACGCUGGGUAUGAUUUGGGGUUCCUCAAAGGACCCCAAUUUCUCCCUUCCCCGUAUUAUUUAAUGUCUUUUACGGGGCUUUCUUCUUUCUUUAUAGGAUGGGAGAGUCCACCGGUUGGAGUCUUCGCUGCCAUUGGCCUUUGGGGGCGGCGUUGGAUGCGUUCUGCCCCAUAGAAGAGGGGAAGCGACCCCUCUUUCCACCCCUGGAGAUGAUAUCUACUGAGCGGGUUCUGUGCUCCGCAGGGGGUGGAGGAGGACCACUGUGACCCAUUGAGCCUAUAGGGGUGUUGGGACACACAGCGGGACCCCAUAACCGGAGAUGGGGACCGGGAUUCGCUCCGUCCUCUGCCCGGCAAACUCUGUUGGUCCUCAGGUGGUUCUUAUGGGGUGUAGAGUUCCUAUGGGUCUGGGGUGGGUUUUCCCUUGCGCUCCGUUUGCUGCCCCCGCGUGGUCUCUCUUUACCCAUCCAUUCUGAUGGGCUCUCAGCGCCCUCCGAUCCCGCAGGAGGUGGGGCUGUUCUGUCGUGUUCGCGUUCAGCGUCGCCUCUUCACGCCGCGUUUCCUUUCUCUCCUUUCCUUUCCCGGGCCGCCCACUGAGGCUUCGUUGGAGCGCCGCUGACCCCACGGCGCUGCGCUCUGCGUUGGCCGACUGCUCUCUGAGGGAGGGGGAAGGCGCUGAGGUAUAACGCACCACACACAGCGCUCUUCCGCAAUCAUUUCUUAUUAUCACCUUCUCCAUCUCUUUCUCAUCCCGUCGCUCUUUCUCCUCGUCUCCCUAUUUUAUGUCAUUGUCUUCUUCCUCUUUCUCUUCCGUCCUCUUCCUCUUUCUCUUCCCUCUUCUCCUCGUCUCCCCUCUUUC
ensembl:lncRNA